rnacentral:rRNA from 1 species
GGCAGCAGCCGCGGGAACACCGGCGGCCCGAGUGGUGAUCGUGAUUAUUGGGUCUAAAGGGUCCGUAGCCGGUUUGGUCAGUCCUCCGGGAAAUCUGAUAGCUCAACUACUAGGCUUUCGGGGGAUACUGCCAGACUUGGAACCGGGAGAGGUAAGAGGUACUACAGGGGUAGGAGUGAAAUCUUGUAAUCCCUGUGGGACCACCUGUGGCGAAGGCGUCUUACCAGAACGGGUUCGACGGUGAGGGACGAAAGCUGGGGGCACGAACCGGAUUAGAUACCCGGGUAGUCCCAGCCGUAAACGAUGCUCGCUAGGUGUCAGGCAUGGCGCGACCGUGUCUGGUGCCGCAGGGAAGCCGUGAAGCGAGCCACCUGGGAAGUACGGCCGCAAGGCUGAAACUUAAAGGAAUUGGCGGGGGAGCACAACAACGGGUGGAGCCCUGCGGUUUAAUUGGACUCAACGCCGGACAACUCACCGGGGGCGACAGCAAUAUGUAGGCCAAGCUGAAGACUUUGCCUGAAUCGCUGAGGAGUGGUGCAUGG